rfam:Brugia pahangi genome assembly, scaffold: BPAG_scaffold0000123
GCCCUUCUAGCUCAGUUGGUAGAGCAUCAGACUUUUAAUCUGAGGGUCGUGGGUUCGAGUCCCACGGAGGGCA